rnacentral:rRNA from 1 species
UCGAACGAGAAAGUGGAGCAUCCAUGAGUAAAGUGGCGUACGGGUGAGUAACACGUGGAUGAUCUGCCCUUGAGUGGGGAAUAACAAUGGGAAACCGUUGCUAAUACCGCAUAUUCCCGAGAGGGGAAAGCAGCAAUGCGCUCGAGGAGGAGUCCGCGGCCGAUUAGCUAGUUGGUAGGGUAAUGGCCUACCAAGGCUUCGAUCGGUAGCCGGCCUGAGAGGGCACACGGCCACACUGGCACUGAAACACGGGCCAGACUCCUACGGGAGGCAGCAGUGGGGAAUCUUGCACAAUGGGGGCAACCCUGAUGCAGCGACGCCGCGUGAGCGAUGAAGCCCUUCGGGGUGUAAAGCUCUUUCGGCAGGGAAGAUCAUGACGGUACCUGCAGAAGCAGCUGCGGCUAACUACGUGCCAGCAGCCGCGGUGAUACGUAGGCAGCAAGCGUUGUUCGGAGUUACUGGGCGUAAAGGGUGUGUAGGCGGCCUGUUAAGUUCCGUGUGAAAUCUCCCGGCUCAACCGGGAGGGUGCGCGGAAAACUGGCGGGCUAGAGUACGGGAUGGGGGAGUAGAAUUCCUGGUGUAGCGGUGAAAUGCGUAGAUAUCAGGAGGAAUACCGGUGGUGUAGACGGCUCUCUGGACCGUAACUGACGCUGAAACACGAAAGCGUGGGUAGCAAACAGGAUUAGAUACCCUGGUAGUCCACGCCCUAAACGAUGCAUAUUUGGUGUAGGCAGUUCAUUCUGUCUGUGCCG